rnacentral:misc_RNA from 1 species
GGAAGUAAAAGUCGUAACAGGUCUCCGUAGGUGAACCUGCGGAGGGAUCAUUACAGAGUUCGUGCCCUCGCGGGUAGAUCUCCCACCCUGUGUUAUUGCUACCUUUGUUGCUUUGGCGGGCCGCCCUCGGCUACCGGCCCCGGCUGAUACGCGCCCGCCAGAGGACCCCAAACCCUGAACGUCAGUGUCGUCUGAGUACUAUACAAUAGUUAAAACUUUCAACAACGGAUCUCUUGGUUCUG